rnacentral:tRNA from 1 species
AGCUAGGUGACCGAAGUUGUAGGUGUGGGUCUUUUAAGCCUAUAAUAGUAAAUAAUACUUCUUGCUG